ACAUAGGUAAAUUACUAAAUGUUAAAUAUUAUUGUUACAAAAUUAUACACAUUUUACAGUGAAAAAUCAAAGUAUGGCGUUAUUGAAGAGUUGUUCCUGUUUAAUUUGCGCCAAUUCCCUUGGAGAUGAUAUAGAUUCACCAAGAAGGAUCUUUUUUUGCCUAGAUUGUGAUUCAACAAUGUGUAAUUCCUGUAAGACAGUACAUGAAAAAAUUACAACACUUACAGGACAUAGUCUUAUUAAAUAUGAAGAAGUGAAUUCGUUUCCAACUACAUCGCUGAUGCAGGCUAUCAAAUGCCAUCAUCACAACGGGGAAAAUAGGGAGUUUUAUUGUUCAGAUCAUUGUACAUCUUUUUGUUUUACAUGUUUUCUACAAGACCACAGAAGAUGUGAGGAUUCAGAAAGGAUAGAAAAAAUAGCUAAUGAUCUGAACCAGUCUGUUAGAAUUGAGGAAAUAAUGAAUAGAAUUGAAAAACAACAGAAAUCAUUAAAAACUAUUCAUGAUCAUAAACAUUCUACUCUCCAAGCGUUAAACGAAGAAAGACCCAAACUUGAAGCGGAAAUGUCAGCUCUUAUCGAAAAAAUAAACAGCCAUGUAUUAUCAGUUAUUGAUGAGACGGGAAACGUACUAAAUACAGAAAUAAAGGCGCUUGAAGAAGACAUGCAAGAAAUUAAAAAAGAUAUAGAAAGGCUUGAAAGACAAAAGAGUGACAUAAAUCAAGUCUUUAAUGUAUGCUCACAUUCCAAAACAUUCCUAUUUUUACAUGAAACAGAAAACAUAUUGAGCAAAAACGAGGAGAAAUUCGACAAGAUGAAGACCGAUUGUAAUAUAGUGAAACUAAUUGUGUCUGUGUCUGAUGAUAUGGGAACAUUACUUAAGAACAUCACAAACGUCUCAAUAGACCGUACUUCUGCUAAAAUACCAAGUUCUUCAAAUGCAAUGAGUCCAACUGAGGUUAAAUAACACUAACCUAAUAAUUUAGGAUAUUUAUCAUAAAGACGGCAUUAUAAUAGUCAUAAUAAUACAUAAAAAGGACAACAAACCAAUACCGACACUUUGAA